rnacentral:misc_RNA from 1 species
GUGAGUCAUCGAAUCUUUGAACGCAACUUGCGCUCUCUGGUAUUCCGGAGAGCAUGCCUGUUUGAGUGUCAUGAAAUCUCAACCAUUAGGGUUUCUUAAUGGCUUGGAUUUGGGUGUUGCCAGUCUCUGGCUCGCCUUAAAGGAGUUAGCGAGUUUAACAAUGUCGUCUGGCGUAAUAAGUUUCGCUGGUAAGACUUGUGAAGUUUGCUUCUAAUCGUCUUCGGACAAUUACUUUGACUCUGGCCUCAAAUCAGGUAGGACUACCCGCUGAACUUAAGCAUAUCAAUAAGCGGAGGA